GAUGAACGCUAGCGGCAGGCCUAACACAUGCAAGUCGAGGGGCAGCACGAUUGAGCUUGCUUAAUUGGUGGCGACCGGCGCACGGGUGCGUAACGCGUAUGCAACCUACCUUAUACUGGGGUAUAGCCCGGAGAAAUUCGGAUUAAUCCCCCAUAGCAUUAUCGAUUCGCAUGUUUUGAUAAUUAAAGGUUACGGUAUAAGAUGGGCAUGCGUCCUAUUAGCUAGAUGGUGAGGUAACGGCUCACCAUGGCGACGAUAGGUAGGGGGCCUGAGAGGGUGGUCCCCCACACUGGUACUGAGACACGGACCAGACUCCUACGGGAGGCGGCAGUGAGGAAUAUUGGUCAAUGGGCGCAAGCCUGAACCAGCCAUGCCGCGUGCAGGAAGACGGUCCUAUGGAUUGUAAACUGCUUUUAUUUGGGAAUAAACUCCGGUACGUGUACCGGCCUGAAGGUACCAAAUGAAUAAGCACCGGCUAACUCCGUGCCAGCAGCCGCCGUAACAC
rnacentral:rRNA from 1 species